rnacentral:rRNA from 1 species
CAUGCAGUCGAGCGGGGAAGUAUAGCUUGCUAUACGACCUAGCGGCGGACGGGUGAGUAAUGCUUAGGAAUCUGCCUAUUAGUGGGGGACAACAUUCCGAAAGGAAUGCUAAUACCGCAUACGCCCUACGGGGGAAAGCAGGGGAUCUUCGGACCUUGCGCUAAUAGAUGAGCCUAAGUCAGAUUAGCUAGUUGGUGGGGUAAAGGCCUACCAAGGCGACGAUCUGUAGCGGGUCUGAGAGGAUGAUCCGCCACACUGGGACUGAGACACGGCCCAGACUCCUACGGGAGGCAGCAGUGGGGAAUAUUGGACAAUGGGCGAAAGCCUGAUCCAGCCAUGCCGCGUGUGUGAAGAAGGCCUUUUGGUUGUAAAGCACUUUAAGCGAGGAGGAGGCUACUUAGAUUAAUACUCUAGGAUAGUGGACGUUACUCGCAGAAUAAGCACCGGCUAACUCUGUGCCAGCAGCCGCGGUAAUACAGAGGGUGCGAGCGUUAAUCGGAUUUACUGGGCGUAAAGCGUGCGUAGGCGGCUUCUUAAGUCGGAUGUGAAAUCCCUGAGCUUAACUUAGGAAUUGCAUUCGAUACUGGGAAGCUAGAGUAUGGGAGAGGAUGGUAGAAUUCCAGGUGUAGCGGUGAAAUGCGUAGAGAUCUGGAGGAAUACCGAUGGCGAAGGCAGCCAUCUGGCCUAAUACUGACGCUGAGGUACGAAAG